UGACCUUAUCCUCUUACUCAUGAUAAGGUAUUAUGUAACUAUGGUACAUUAACUGUAAGGUGUCAAAUGUCAGAGUGGGGUUGGGCACUAUACAGGAAGUAAGCCUGGUUCCACGUAGACAUCCAUGGAAGGGAAACAAACACUGCCAACCUCCCAUAGGCAACAUCAACAGGUUUUUUGAAAGAGUGGAGUAACUUGUGACAUAGCUGUGAGAGACCAGUCGUGUGUAUGCAUUCUAAUUUUGACAAUGGCAUUACUGAGAGAGCUCACUUUCCAAAAGUCUUUUCAUUGUGCCUAUCUGUGACUCAGCAUCUCUGCUAUGUGAACAUGGGGAAAACCUAUCUGCAGAAACAGCUCUGCCAAGGAAAAACAAGCAAGCUCUCAAACCGAAGACCUGCUGAUCAAGUUCAGAUGUUAUUCUCAUAAUAAUACAGCUGUCAAACAGGGAAAUCUCUUUGAAAGUAAAUUAUGUAGC